UACGAAGGGGGCUAGCGUUGCUCGGAAUCACUGGGCGUAAAGCGCACGUAGGCGGAUCUUUAAGUCAGGGGUGAAAUCCUGGAGCUCAACUCCAGAACUGCCUUUGAUACUGGGGAUCUCGAGUCCGGGAGAGGUGAGUGGAACUGCGAGUGUGGAGGUGAAAUUCGUAGAUAUUCGCAAGAACACCAGUGGCGAAGGCGGCUCACUGGCCCGGUUCUGACGCUGAGACGCGAAAGCGCGGGGAGCGAACGGG
rnacentral:rRNA from 1 species